AUUGAACGCUGGCGGCAGGCCUAACACAUGCAAGUCGAACGAGUGGCGGACGGGUGAGUAAUGUCUGGGAAACUGCCUGAUGGAGGGGGAUAACUACUGGAAACGGUAGCUAAUACCGCAUACCCUCGGAUGUGCCCAGAUGGGAUUAGCUAGUAGGUGGGGUAAAGGUUCACCUAGGCCACGAUCCCUAGCUGGUCUGAGAGGGUGACCAGCCAGACUGGAACGGAGACUCGGCCCCGACGCCUAUGGGAGGCAGCAGUGGGGAAUACUGCACAAUGGGCGCAAGCCUGAUGCAGAAAGGGCGCGUGUAUGAAGAAGGCCUUCGGGUUGUAAAGUACUUGCAGCGGGGAGGCGUUACCCGCAGAAGAAGCACCGGCUAACUCCGUGCCAGCAGCCGCGGUAAUAC
rnacentral:rRNA from 1 species